UGCCGCUAGAAUUUAAUUAACGGUACAUCCUGCCCAGUGAAUCAUUAAACGGCCGCGGUACCCUGACCGUGCAAAGGUAGCAUAAUCACUUGCCUAUUAAUUGUAGGCUAGAAUGAAAGGACAAACGAGAAUAAAGCUGUCUCCUUUAAGAACAUAAAACUUUAUAUUUGAGUGAAGAAGCUCAAAUACUUCCGCAGGACAAGAAGACCCUAUAGAGCUUUACCCAAAACAUCUAACCAGGAGAUGCCACGGUUCGGUUGGGGCGACCGGGGAGUAAUAAUCAUCCCUAAAACCUUAGAUCUACACAUCACAAAAACGAUCCUUUCUAAAGAUCAAUGAACCAAGCUACCUUAGGGAUAACAGGCUAAUCCUCUUUUAGAGCUCUUAUCGACAAGAGGGAUUGGCACCUCGAUGUUGGCUUAGGACUUCUUCGUGACGCAGCAGUCACGACCAGAUGGUUUGUUCAACCAUUAAACUCCU
rnacentral:rRNA from 1 species